rnacentral:rRNA from 1 species
CAGUAGCCGCGGGAAUACGUAGGGUGCAAGCGUUAAUCGGAAUUACUGGGCGUAAAGCGUGCGCAGGCGGUGUUGUAAGACUGAUGUAAAAUCCCCGGGCUCAACCUGGGAACUGCAUUGGUGACUGCAACGCUGGAGUGCGGCAGAGGGGGAUGGAAUUCCGCGUGUAGCAGUGAAAUGCGUAGAUAUGCGGAGGAACACCGAUGGCGAAGGCAAUCCCCUGGGCCUGCACUGACGCUCAUGCACGAAAGCGUGGGGAGCAAACAGGAUUAGAUACCCCCGUAGUCCCUGUCUCUUAUAC